rnacentral:rRNA from 1 species
AGAGUUUGAUCCUGGCUCAGAUUGAACGCUGGCGGCAUGCUUUACACAUGCAAGUCGAACGGCAGCACGGGUGCUUGCACCUGGUGGCGAGUGGCGAACGGGUGAGUAAUGCACCGGAACGUACCCAGUUAUGGGGGAUAACACAUCGAAAGAUGUGCUAAUACCGCAUACGCCCUGAGGGGGAAAGCGGGGGAUCGUAAGACCUCGCGUUAUUGGAGCGGCCGAUGCCGGAUUAGCUAGUUGGUGAGGUAAGAGCUCACCAAGGCGACGAUCCGUAGCUGGUCUGGGAGGACGACCAGCCACACUGGGACUGAGACACGGCCCAGACUCCUACGGGAGGCAGCAGUGGGGAAUUUUGGACAAUGGGCGCAAGCCUGAUCCAGCCAUGCCGCGUGAGUGAAGAAGGCCUUCGGGUUGUAAAGCUCUUUCGCAAGGAAAGAAAACUUAUCUACUAA